ensembl:snoRNA
GGAGUAUUCUCAGAGAAGAGGUCUGAAAUGUUUCCUUUAUUCACGACAAACCCAACAUAAUCUGAGUUCAUUGACAAGGGGCACAAAACUUGUGGCCAUCAUAUGAAAAACUACCCCUACACGU